UUGUUGGAGUUCUGUUGAUCUUGCAUACCAGCCACGCCCCCACUAUUGCAAAGGUUAUGAGGAGCCCACUCCCAAAAUGGCUGGAGGAGGUGCAGAGAUCUGAAGGUUGUCUAGCGCUGCAGGAGUAGAGGAGAUGUGUUUGUUGAGUGGGAGCAUCCUCCGUCACCACCCCUCUCCAGUAUCCAUGGAGAUGACACUAUCCUCUUUGAGCUCCUGAGAACUAAACAACAUUCAACAGUUGACGACAAUCGACGAUGCAAUUACGUUAGAAUCCAGCCAUGCAUGACAUGUGCACAGACUGUGGGGGGUCUGGUAUCAAGGUGACCCACCGCCCACUCGGCCCCGGCAUGAUGCAGCAGAUACACAGCGUGUGCACAGACUGUGGGGGGUCUGGUGAUUACAUAAGAGACAAGUGCAAGAAAUGCAAAGGAAAGCGUCUCGUGGAAAUCAACCACAAACAAGAGAACACUGCUGGUGACGACCAUAGUGACAAGCAGCUGGAUCACACCGACUACAGGAGAGUCGACUGUGACCUGUUUGUGGAGAAGAGCAUCAGUUUAAAGGAGACCUUGUGUGGCUUCACUUGCACUCUGUACCCCCUGGACGGGAGGAACGUGGGUGUGUCCAGGUCACCAGGAGCAGUGCUGUCACCAGGUGAGUAGGUGGCUGGUAGGAGGAGGAUUGUGUAUAGGGCUGCCUUUGAGAGGAGUGUACAUACAAGCUAUUAUAGUGUGUCCCAGCCUUACAAGCUGAGGGGACAUGUGUUAGGGUUAGGUACCUUAGGACUGUUGAUCUGGCAGCUUUAACAAGACUUAGGCUAUUUAUUAUCAAGGGCGUAUACACCCUUGUUAUUAUCCAUGAGAACCAAAGCAACUGAAUUGAAAGUGAUAGCUAAGAGUACCAGUGUGAAGGAGGGAGGUUCAUUGAGGUGUACUGGCAUGGCUGUCUUAUAUAUAGUGACAUCCUUCUUGUUCUUCAAUACACUGUAGAGGUGGUGUGGCCAAAUUGGCAAAUACCGUAUAGCGGAUAUUUCGAGGGUAUAAAUGUUCGUGGUUUUCGCUGAUCAAGCAUCUACCGCGAACAUUUAUUCCCACGAAUUUAAUAUCGCACGCAUACACGCUGCAGAAAGACUGCUAUUCUGAAUUCCCGAAAACCUUUCUAACGGUCAAUCCGCGAAAGUGUAUACCCUCGAAAUAUACCCGCUAUACGGUAGUUUUAUCACUCAAAUAUGAACUUUGAUGAUAUCAUGUUAGAGAAGAAGCUCUUUCAAAUGCUUAAUUCCCAAAUUUGGAACGGGUCAUAAUUAGGGUUAGGUAUAGGACUUUUGAUCUUGUUAUUUCUAUUUUCACUUCAUAUGUAUGUCUUGUGGUCAUGUGCAAUACUAACAGUGGUUGUGUUGUGGUGGCAGUAUUGUACGUAGUACAUGUACAGUUGCUAAAAACUCCGAAAACUCUGUCAAUCUAAUUACAACAUACUGAAAGUAGUAUCAAUUGAGUUUACAAUGUGUGUGUACAUGUACAGUACUGUGUGUGUGUGUGUGUGUGUGUGUGUGUGUGUGUGUGUGUGUGUGUGUGUGUGUGUGUGUGUGUGUGUGUGUGUGUGUGUGUGUGGUGUGUGUGGUGUGUGUGUGUGUGUGUGUGUGUGUGUGUGUGUGUGUGUGUGUGUGUGUGUGUGUGUGUGUGUGUGUGUGUGUGUGUGUGUGUGUGUGUGUGUGUCCAGGGUCUGGAGGGUGAGGGGAUGCCAGUGUUCAGGAGGCCUCAUGUCAAGGGCAACCAGUUCACCAUCCAAUUCCCUGACUCUGGUUUCCUGGAGGAGAGUCAACUAAAGGAGUUGGAGUGUCUCCUGUCCACAGGACCUGGCCCCACCAGCACUGGACCCAGAGGCAGAGGAAAUGGAUAUGAUAGAGAGUGAGGGGACGAGGGGAGUGAGCGGGGCACAAGGGGGUGGAGCCAUAUACGAUGAAGAUGAGGAGGAUGAAGGAGUGGGCGGGGCACAGAGGGUGGGCUGCUCUCAACAGUGACACUCUUAGGAACUCUAUAUUCACCGCUUUGAUUGUAUUUAUGGACUGGUUUUGUGGUUACUGCUAUUGUUCUAAUUAUGUGAAUAACGUUUGCCCAUACCAC